rnacentral:tRNA from 1 species
GCCCGCUUGGCACAGUGGUAAUGCGUGUCACUGUAAGCUAUCCCGCAACUCUUCUAUCAUCGCACGUACUAACGACUUCUCAGCGUACUAUACAAAUGUCAUGACAAGAUCGCUCGUUCGAUUCGGGCAGUGGGCA